rnacentral:rRNA from 1 species
GACGAACGCUGGCGGCGUGCCUAAUACAUGCAAGUCGAACGCUUCUUUCCUCCCGAGUGCUUGCACUCAAUUGGAAAGAGGAGUGGCGGACGGGUGAGUAACACGUGGGUAACCUACCCAUCAGAGGGGGAUAACACUUGGAAACAGGUGCUAAUACCGCAUAACAGUUUAUGCCGCAUGGCAUAAGAGUGAAAGGCGCUUUCGGGUGUCGCUGAUGGAUGGACCCGCGGUGCAUUAGCUAGGUGGUGAGGUAACGGCUCACCAAGGCCACGAUGCAUAGCCGACCUGAGAGGGUGAUCGGCCACACUGGGACUGAGACACGGCCCAGACUCCUACGGGAGGCAGCAGUAGGGAACCUUCGGCAAUGGACGGAAGUCUGACCGAGCAACGCCGCGUGAGUGAAGAAGGUUUUCGGAUCGUAAAACUCUGUUGUUAGAGAAGAACAAGGACGUUAGUAACUGAACGUCCCCUGACGGUAUCUAACCAGAAAGCCACGGCUAACUACGUGCCAGCAGCCGCCGUAA